rnacentral:rRNA from 1 species
UACGGGGGGAGCAAGCGUUGUUCGGAUUUACUGGGCGUAAAGGGCGCGUAGGCGGCCACUGCAAGUCGGUUGUGAAAUCUCCGGGCUUAACCCGGAAAGGUCAAUCGAUACUGCAGGGCUAGAGUGCGGAAGGGGCAACUGGAAUUCUCGGUGUAGCGGUGAAAUGCGUAGAUAUCAGGAAGAACACCAAUGGCGAAAGCAGCUCUCUGGGACGGUACUGACGCUGAGACGCGAAAGCGUGGGGAGCGAACAGG